rnacentral:rRNA from 1 species
UAAUACGGAGGAUGCAAGCGUUAUCCGGAAUUAUUGGGCGUAAAGCGUCCGUAGGUGGUUCAUCAAGUCAGUUGUCAAAGCGUGGGGCUUAACCCCAUAAGGGCGAUUGAAACUGAUGAACUAGAGUUUGGUAGGGGUCAGGGGAAUUCCCAGUGUAGCGGUGAAAUGCGUAGAUAUUGGGAAGAACACCGGUGGCGAAAGCGCCUGACUGGGCCUGAACUGACACUGAGGGACGAAAGCUAGGGGAGCGAAAGGG